AGAAAAAAAAACUAAAUAAAUAAUAUAUAUUAUUGAUCCUGGCUCUUACUACGUUUUCGCUUCUUCUCCUUUUUCUUAGAUUUUUUUCUUUUCUCCCUCUCUU
rnacentral:ribozyme from 13 species